rnacentral:rRNA from 1 species
GGACGGACGCUGGCGGCGUGCUUAACACAUGCAAGUCGAACGGAAAGGCCCCAGCUUGCUGGGGUACUCGAGUGGCGAACGGGUGAGUAACACGUGGGUGAUCUGCCCUGCACUCUGGGAUAAGCCUGGGAAACUGGGUCUAAUACCGGAUAGGACCGUGCUUUAGUGUGUGCGGUGGAAAGUUUUUCGGUGCAGGAUGAGCCCGCGGCCUAUCAGCUUGUUGGUGGGGUAAUGGCCUACCAAGGCGGCGACGGGUAGCCGGCCUGAGAGGGUGUACGGCCACAUUGGGACUGAGACACGGCCCAGACUCCUACGGGAGGCAGCAGUGGGGAAUAUUGCACAAUGGGCGCAAGCCUGAUGCAGCGACGCCGCGUGGGGGAUGACGGCCUUCGGGUUGUAAACCCCUUUCGGCAGGGACGAAGCUUUUGUGACGGUACCUGCAUAAGAAGCACCGGCUAACUACGUG